rnacentral:sRNA from 1 species
UGGCCAGGGUAUAGGCCCACCUCGUCCAGU